rnacentral:lncRNA from 1 species
GAUUGAGUCAUUCAUUCACAACCAAGAACUAAACUUGAUUUUACAAUUGUAGAACUUCCAUUUAUAAACAUAAACUAGAUGCCAUAAUAUGUACAUAAAUUAACAAAAAAAUGACCUAUAUACAUGCCACAAUUAUCCACAACAACUACAAAAGUUCUACCGAAUAAAAAUAAUGAUAGGUGUGAGCUUCCUUGCUGAUCCGAUUGACACGUUCUAAGUUCUAAAAAUCU